rnacentral:misc_RNA from 1 species
UCCGCCAUUUAUACAGACCAAAACAAUAUACCGUCGUGAGCAGGGCGACCCUCAUAGGAAAAAACUUGAAUCUCCGACCCACAGGCGCCUGAUCAGCACUCCCCGGCCUCGGCGCCGGCAUAGGCUUGACCCACUCCGAGAAAUCCCUAUCGAAGUACUCCCAGUCCGGCAGCAGCAAGCCGGCGAUCCCCAGCAUCCCGAACACGUAGGUCGCCAUCAUCUUCUUGAAGGAAAACGUACACAGCCCGACUCCG